UUCCCCUCCAGUUUGAACUUGUCCACACUCCAGCACUGUAAGUGGCGGAAAUGCACCUUAACGUGUGUUGCCAUUUAAUGUAAAGAAGAACAAGAAGAAGUAUUUGUCCCUGUUCGUGCCACCAUGGCACCAGUUUGGUUGGCAAAUUAGCUAUGGUAGUGAAGGUAAUGUUGACACAGAAACACUGGGAACGUUUUUGUAACACCAUUUUGCCGAGGGAGAGGGAAUGUUUUGGAGACAAAGGGAUACAACCCUCCCAGAGUCAGAUUGGUGAAGCUGAGGACGAGGUCUGGGGACUCUACAAUGCCAUAACAUAACGUGGAUGAAUACAACACUACAAACUGUCUUCCUAGCUCUUUAUAGGACAGAUGGAGACAUGAAAGGGGAGAGAGAGAGAGGGGAAAUGAUAUGCAGCAAAG